CCCGCACAAGCGGUGGAGCAUGUGGUUUAAUCGAAGCAACGCGAAGAACCUUACCAGGUCUUGACAUCCCGAUGCUAUUUCUAGAGAUAGAAAGUUACUUCGGUACAUCGGUGACAGGUGGUGCAUGGUUGUCGUCAGCUCGUGUCGUGAGAUGUUGGGUUAAGUCCCGCAACGAGCGCAACCCCUAUUGUUAGUUGCCAUCAUUCAGUUGGGCACUCUAGCGAGACUGCCGGUAAUAAACCGGAGGAAGUGGGGAUGACGUCAAAUCAUCAUGCCCCUUAUGACCUGGGCUACACACGUGCUACAAUGGUUGGUACAACGAGUUGCGAGUCGGUGACGGCGAGCUAAUCUCUUAAAGCCAAUCUCAGUUCGGAUUGUAGGCUGCAACUCGCCUACAUGAAGUCGGAAUCGCUAGUAAUCGCGGAUCAGCACGCCGCGGUGAAUACGUUCCCGGGCCUU
rnacentral:rRNA from 1 species